UCCCUGGUGGUCCAGUGGCUAAGAUGCUACACUCUCAAUGCAGGGAGCCCAGGUUCGAUCCCUAGUCAGGGAA